GCCCAGUAGCGGCGAGUGAAGCGGCAAGAGCUCAGAUUUGAAAUCGUGUUUCGGCACGAGUUGUAGAGUGUAGGCGGGAGUCUCUGUGGAGCGCGGUGUCCAAGUCCCUUGGAACAGGGUGCCUGAGAGGGUGAGAGCCCCGUAGGGUGCUGCGCGAAGCUUUUGAGGCCCUGCUGACGAGUCGAGUUGUUUGGGAAUGCAGCUCCAAGCGGGUGGUAAAUUCCAUCUAAGGCUAAAUAUUGGCGAGAGACCGAUAGCGAACAAGUACUGUGAAGGAAAGAUGAAAAGCACUUUGAAAAGAGAGUGAAACAGCACGUGAAAUUGUUGAAAGGGAAGGGUAUUGGGCUCGACAUGGGGGGUGCGCACCGCUGUCUCUUGUAGGCGGCGCUCUGGGCGCCCUCUGGGCCAGCAUCGGUUCCUGCUGCGGGAGAAGGGGCUCCGGAAAGUGGCUCUUCGGAGUGUUAUAGCCGGGGCCAGAUGCCGCGUGUGGGGACCGAGGACUGCGGCUUCUGUCUCGGAUGCUGGCAUAACGGCGCAAUAC
rnacentral:rRNA from 1 species